ACACCUUCAAGCGCAGCUUGGUGUUGGGCGUCUGUCCCUCGGGACUCGCCUCAAAUGGAUUGGCAGCCACUUCAGCGGCUUUGAGCGCAGCAGAUUUGCGUCCUCUAUCAGCGGAAGGCGGCAUCCAUAAGCUUUUUUCUA
rnacentral:misc_RNA from 1 species